rnacentral:rRNA from 1 species
CAGUCGCCGCGGUAACACGUAUGUCACAAGCGUUAUCCGGAUUUAUUGGGCGUAAAGCGCGUCUAGGUGGUUAUGUAAGUCUGAUGUGAAAAUGCAGGGCUCAACUCUGUAUUGCGUUGGAAACUGUGUAACUAGAGUACUGGAGAGGUAAGCGGAACUACAAGUGUAGAGGUGAAAUUCGUAGAUAUUUGUAGGAAUGCCGAUGGGGAAGCCAGCUUACUGGACAGAUACUGACGCUGAAGCGCGAAAGCGUGGGUAGCAAACAGGAUUAGAGACCCCCGUAGUCCCUGUCUCUUAUACC